rnacentral:lncRNA from 1 species
AUGAAACCGCGGGAUGACCAACCUUUUUUUUUUAUUUCCUCAAAGCAGACACGACAAUGCGGCGCCGAGCCGGCGUCUGCAAAGCCGCCACACCCAGCGCUCGCCAACGGCCAAAACUCUACAGCAGACGGACCGAUCUGUUUCCACAAAUCACCAAUGUUUGGCCGAAUGACGGCAGAGAGGGGGUCAUUCACCAAGGGGUUCUAGCCACCAGCACGCGCUGGUCGCACAAACAAGACCGGACGGGGGCGAACGGACGAUGGAAAAGUGUGCGGUCGCUGUGGCGCCGCCGCAGCGACCGACGAGACACAAUCGCCGCCUGUGCGGUGCUUCUCUCUCUGUCUUUUUUUUUGUUACCCGGCGAGUUCGGGUCGACUUUCGCUGCCACCGCCGCCGUCGGCCUGUGCGUCCCAAACAAGAAACCAAAAAGCAAAUGCAUUUGCGUGCGCACAAACAAAAAGACUG